rnacentral:rRNA from 1 species
UACGGAGGGUGCGAGCGUUGUCCGGAAUCACUGGGCGUAAAGGGCGCGUAGGCGGCUUCUCAAGCGUGUGGUGAAAGUCCGGGGCUCAACCCCGGAUCGGCCGUGCGGACUGGGGAGCUCGAGUUCUGUAGAGGCGGGUGGAAUUCCGGGUGUAGCGGUGGAAUGCGUAGAUAUCUGCAGGAACACCCGUGGCGAAGGCGGCUGACUGGAUCGCAACUGACACUGAGGAACGAAAGCUAGGGGAGCAAACAGG